ACUCAAAUGAAUAGACGGGGACCCGCACAAGCGGUGGAUGAUGUGGAUUAAUUCGAUGCCACGCGAAAAACCUUACCUACCCUUGACAUGGAUCGAAUUGUUCAGAGAUGACCAAGUGCUCGCAAGAGAACGGUCACACAGGUGCUGCAUGGCUGUCGUCAGCUCGUGUCGUGAGAUGUUGGGUUAAGUCCCGCAACGAGCGCAACCCUUAUCGUUAAUUGCCAUCAGGUCAAGCUGGGCACUUUAACGAGACUGCCGGUGACAAACCGGAGGAAGGUGGGGAUGACGUCAAGUCCUCAUGGCCCUUAUGGGUAGGGCUUCACACGUCAUACAAUGGGUCAUACAAAGGGUCGCCAACUCGCAAGAGGGAGCCAAUCCCAAAAAGUGACUCGUAGUCCGGAUUGGAGUCUGCAACUCGACUCCAUGAAGUUGGAAUCGCUAGUAAUCGCGGAUCAGCACGUCGCGGUGAAUACGUUCCCGGGUCUUGUACACACCGCCCGU
rnacentral:rRNA from 1 species